CGUUGUCCGGAUUUAUUGGGCGUAAAGCGAGCGCAGGCGGUUUCUUAAGUCUGAUGUGAAAGCCCCCGGCUCAACCGGGGAGGGUCAUUGGAAACUGGGAGACUUGAGUGCAGAAGAGGAGAGUGGAAUUCCAUGUGUAGCGGUGAAAUGCGUAGAUAUAUGGAGGAACACCAGUGGCGAAGGCGACUCUCUGGUCUGUAACUGACGCUGAGGCUCGAAAGCGUGGGGAGCAAACAGGAUUAGAUACCCUGGUAGUCAAGGGCG
rnacentral:rRNA from 1 species